rnacentral:tRNA from 2 species
GGAAGGGUGGCAGAGUGGUCGAAUGCACCGGUCUUGAAAACCGGCGAUGUGCGAGCAUCCGUGGGUUCAAAUCCCACCCCUUCCGCCA